GAUGAAGAACGCAGCGAAAUGCGAUACGUAGUGUGAAUUGCAGAAUUCAGUGAAUCAUCGAAUCUUUGAACGGACAUUGCGCCCUUUGGUAUUCCAAAGGGCAUGCCUGUUCGAGCGUCAUUUGUACCCUCAAGCUUUGCUUGGUGUUGGGCGUCUUGUCUCCAGUCCGCUGGAGACUCGCCUUAAAGUCAUUGGCAGCCGGCCUACUGGUUUCGGAGCGCAGCACAAGUCGCACUCUUUUCCAGCCAAGGUCAGCGUCCAACAAGCCUUUUUUCAACUUUUGACCUCGGAUCAGGUAGGGAUACCCGCUGAGCUUAAGCAUAUCAAUAAGCGGAGGA
rnacentral:misc_RNA from 1 species